rnacentral:rRNA from 1 species
CUACGGGUGGCACCAGUGGGGAAUAUUGCACAAUGGGCGCAAGCCUGAUGCAGCCAUGCCGCGUGUAUGAAGAAGGCCUUCGGGUUGUAAAGUACUUUCAGCGGGGAGGAAGGGAGUAAAGUUAAUACCUUUGCUCAUUGACGUUACCCGCAGAAGAAGCACCGGCUAACUCCGUGCCAGCAGCCGCGGUAAUACGGAGGGUGCAAGUUAAUCGGAAUUACUGGGCGUAAAGCGCACGCAGGCGGUUUGUUAAGUCAGAUGUGAAAUCCCCGGGCUCAACCUGGGAACUGCAUCUGAUACUGGCAAGCUUGAGUCUCGUAGAGGGGGGUAGAAUUCCAGGUGUAGCGGUGAAAUGCGUAGAGAUCUGGAGGAAUACCGGUGGCGAAGGCGGCCCCCUGGACGAAGACUGACGCUCAGGUGCGAAAGCGUGGGGAGCAAACAGGAUUAGAUACCCGCGUAGUC